rnacentral:rRNA from 1 species
ACCUGGUUGAUUCUGCCAGUUGGCAUAUGCUCGUCUCUAAGAUUAAGCCAUGCAUGUCUGAGUUCAUACCUAGUUAACGUGAGACUGCGAAAGGCUCAGUACAUCAGUUAUAGUUUAUUCGAUUGUGAAAUCCACAUGGAUAACCGUGGAAAAUCUAGAGCUAAUACAUGCGAAAAACAACUCGUAGGUGCGGCAACGUAACUGCGGGUUAUGCAUUUAUUAGAUUAAGCCAAUCAAUGGUGCUAUGGGUAACUGUAGUAUUGUUGCAGUGGUGAGUCUGGAUAACUGUGCCGAUCGUAUGGCCUUGAGCCGGCGACGUUUCGAUUAAAUUUCUGCCCUAUCAACUUGUUGGUAAGGUAGUGGCUUACCAAGGUGAUAACGGGUAACGGGGAAUCAGGGUUCGAUUCCGGAGAGGGAGCCUGAGAAACGGCUACCACAUCCAAGGAUGGCAGCAGGCGCGCAAAUUACCCAAUCCAGACACUGGGAGGUGGUGACGAGAAAUACCAGGUCGUUCCCAAAAGGAUUCGACACUGGAAUGAGUGCAAUUUAAAAAUUUCAAUGAGUAACAACUGGAGGGCAAGUCUGGUGCCAGCAGCCGCGGUAAUUCCAGCUCCAGUAGUGUAUCCAAACGUUGCUGCGGUUAAAACGCUCGUAGUUGGACAAGAGAGUAGCUUGGUGCGGGCGGGGAGUGUUUUUACUUUAUGUGUAAUUCUUUUGGUGUGCAGAUCUGUCGUAAGAUGGGUUUGUGCAUUGAUUGGAUCUUGAGCAUAUUUGUAUCGCUUGUCGACCAUGCUGCCAGGCUACUUGUAAUGUUUCGUGAGAAUGUUACAUGAUCUUUAUUGUAUUGUGUAAUGUGUCUUACGUAGUGUGCCUUGAAUAAAUCAGAGUGCUCAAAGCAAGCUAUAGCUUGAAUGUUAAUAGCAUGGAACGAAUGUUUAGUGGAAGUGAGCUUGUUGAAUUCACUUGUGGGUUCGAUGGUUCACAGCACCAACCACGAAGCGGAGCAUUGGUUGCCGACUUCGGGUGAGGAUUAAGAGGGGCAUUUGGGGGCAUUAGUAUUUGGCCGCGAGAGGUGAAAUUCUUGGACCGGCUAAGGACUAACAAGUGCGAAAGCAUUUGCCAAGUAUGUUCCCUUUAAUCAAGAACGAAAGUGAGAGGUUCGAAGACGAUCAGAUACCGUCCUAGUUCUCACCGUAAACGAUGCCAACCCGGGAUCAGUUCGGAUGCACACCAAUUGAUCCAGGUUGGUCCCCCUGGGAAACCUUGAGUUUUUAGGUUCCGGGGGGAGUAUGGUUGCAAGGCUGAAACUUAAAGGAAUUGACGGAAGGGCACCACCAGGGGUGGAGCCUGCGGCUUAAUUUGACUCAACACGGGAAAACUCACCUGGUCCGGACAUCGAUAGGAUUGACAGGCUAAAGAUCUUUCAUGAUACGGUGGGUGGUGGUGCAUGGCCGUUCUUAGUUCGUGGAGCGAUCUGUCAGGUUUAUUCCGGUAACGAACGAGACCAUGUUCUUCAUUUGGGGAGCUGGAGGACAAGUAGUAAUGGUCGUAGUUUGCAGUUUGUGUUGUAUUUCGGUGCAAUGCAAGCUGUUGGCUAUGAUUGGUUCUUCUUGAUACUCUGGUGUACGUGCAGCAAUGUGCGUCCCUAUGGAGAGACAGCCGGAUUGUAAGCCGGAGGAAGCGUGGCAAUAACAGGUCUGUGAUGCCCUUCGAUGUUCAGGGCCGCACGCGCGCUACAAUGAUAACGACAGCGAGAGUCUGGACUGAAAAGUUCUGGGUAAUCUUGUGAAUCGUUAUCGUGAUGGGGAUUGAGCAUUGUAAUUGUUGCUCAUGAAAGAGGAAUCCCUUGUAUACGUGUCUCACUCAGGACACGUAGAAUGCGUCUCUGCCCUUUGUACACACCGCCCGUCGCUACUACCGAGUGAAUGGUGUCAUGAUGUCUUGGGACUGGAUUUUGUUGGCAGUGAAAGCUGCGGACGAUGCUAGGAGCAAGACAAAAUGGCGCAAUUUCGAGGAAGUAAAAGUCGUAACAAGGUUUCCGUAGGUGAACCUGCGGAAG